AUUGAACGCUGGCGGCAGGCUUAACACAUGCAAGUCGAGCGGGGGAAGGUAGCUUGCUACUGGACCUAGCGGCGGACGGGUGAGUAAUGCUUAGGAAUCUGCCUAUUAGUGGGGGACAACAUCUCGAAAGGGAUGCUAAUACCGCAUACGUCCUACGGGAGAAAGCAGGGGAUCUUCGGACCUUGCGCUAAUAGAUGAGCCUCAGUCGGAUUAGCUAGUCGGUGGGGUAAAGGCCUAACAAGGCGACGAUCUGUAGCGGGUGUGAGAGGAUGAGCCGGCACACUGGGACUGGGACACGGCCCAGACUCCUACGCGAGGCAGCAGUGGGGAAUAUUGGACAAUGGGGGGAGCCCUGAUCCAGCCAUGCCGCGUGUGUGAAGAAGGCCUUAUGGUUGUAAAGCACUUUAAGCGAGGAGGAGGCUACUUUAGUUAAUACCUAGAGAUAGUGGACGUUACUCGCAGAAUAAGCACCGGCUAACUCUGUGCCAGCCGCCGCCGUAA
rnacentral:rRNA from 1 species